rnacentral:rRNA from 1 species
GUCGUCGACGUACGUCUACGAGAGUUGUAGUACUGCGCUACGAGUUAACGCUGGCGGCGUGCCUAACACAUGCAAGUCGAACGAAAUAUCUUCGGAUAUUUAGUGGCGAACGGGUGAGUAAUGUACAGGUAAUGUACCUCCGUACUGCGAAUAACAAGCUGAAAAGUUUGCUAAUACGGAAUAGUUUCAUUGAGGGGCAUCCUUUGAUGAAUAAAGAUUUAUCGUGCAGAGAUCAGCCUGUAUCCUAUUAGUUAGUUGGUGGGGUAAUGGCCUACCAAGACGACGAUGGGUAACUGGUCUGAGAGGAUGAGCAGUCACAUUGGAACUGAGAUACGGUCCAAACUCCUACGGGAGGCAGCAGUGAGGAAUUUUGCGCAAUGGGGGGAACCCUGACGCAAGCAACGCCGCGUGAGUGAUGACGGCCUUCGGGUUGUAAAGCUCUGUCGUGUAUGACGAGUAGGGACGGUAAUACACAAGGAAGCCUCGGCUAACUACGUGCCAGCCGCGGC